rnacentral:rRNA from 1 species
GAAAGUAAUAAAGGGCGUAUGGGGGAUGCCUAGGCUCUUGGAGGCGAAGAAAGACGUGGUAAGCUGCGAUAAGCCUCGGGGAUUUGCAAACGAGAAUUGAUCCGAGGAUUUCUGAAUGGGACAACCCGGCAGGCAGAAGGCCUGUCACACGAAAGUGGGCCAACCCUCUGAACUGAAACAUCUUAGUAGGAGGAGGAAAAGAAAGAAACAUCGAUUUCCUAAGUAGCGGCGAGCGAACGGGAAACAGCCUAAACCACAAUUGUUACGGCAACUGUGGGGUUGUAGGACUGCAAUAUUCAAAUGACUGUGAACUGGAAUGUUCUGGAAAGUUCAUCCAUAGAGAGUGAAAGACUCGUACAGGCAAGCACGUCAGGCGAUAGCAGUAUCCUGAGUAGGGCGGGACACGAGGAAUCCUGUCUGAAUCCGCCGGGACCACCCGGUAAGGCUAAAUACUCCCAAGAGACCGAUAGUGAACCAGUACCGUGAGGGAAAGGUGAAAAGAACCCCGAACAGGGGAGUGAAAUAGAACCUGAAACCAUACGCUUACAACCUGUCGGAGCGGCUUCGUGCCGUGACGGCGUGCCUAUUGAAUAAUGAGCCUACGAGUUACUAAUCACUGGCAAGGUUAAGUGCACGGAUGCACGGAGCCGAAGCGAAAGCGAGUCUGAAUAGGGCGUUUAGUCAGUGGUUGUAGACGCGAAACCUUGCGAUCUACCCUUGAGCAGGUUGAAGGUUGGGUAAAACCAACUGGAGGACCGAACGAAUAAGCGUUGAAAAGCUUCUCGAUGACUUGAGGGUAGGGGUGAAAGGCUAAUCAAGCUGGGAAAUAGCUCGUACUCCCCGAAAUGCCUUUAGGGGCAGCGUUGUAAUUAAGAGUCUACUGGAGGUAGAGCUACUGAUUGGAUGCGGGGGCUUCACCGCCUACCAAAUCCUGACAAACUCCGAAUGCCAGUAGUAUGAUUUACAGCAGUGAGCGACCGGGUGCUAAUGUCCGGUUACGAGAGUGGAACAACACAGACCAGCAACUAAGGUCCCCAAGAGUAUACUAAGUUGAUCUAACGAUGUUUUGCUGCAGAGACAGCUAGGAUGUUAGCUUGGAAGCAGCUAUUCAUUCAAAGAGUGCGUAACAGCUCACUAGUCGAGCGGCAAAGCGUGGAUAAUAAACGGGCAUCAAGUAUACCACCGAAGUUCUGGGCACGAAAGUGCGGUAGGGGAGCAUUCCAUUCCGCGUUGAAGCCGAACCGUGAGGUUUGGUGGAGUGUAUGGAAAAGCAAAUGUAGGCAUGAGUAACGAUAAUGCGGGAGAGUAACCCGCACACCGCAAGACCAAGGUUUCCUGAUCAACGCUAAUCGGAUCAGGGUUAGUCGGGUCCUAAGGGUAAGCCGAACGGUGAUCUCGAUGGAUAAUCGGUUAAUAUUCCGAUACUGACAUAUACCUCGAUGGAGAGACGAAGGAACGUAAGUGCCGCCACCUGACGGAAUAGGUGGUUAAAGGGCUUAGGUAUAGGGGCAGAUUAAGAGUUAGUCCUUGCUGAAACCUGACAGUACAGAGAGCCUACGGGCAAUUUGAUAGUGCACCCAAGUCGACUUCCGAGAAAAUCUUCUAAGUUAUAGUAUAUGUCACCCGUACCGUAAACCGACACAGGUGGUCGAGGAGAGUAUCCUAAGGUGCUCGAGUGAAUCACGGUUAAGGAACUAGGCAAAUUAACCCCGUAACUUCGGGAAAAGGGGUCCCAUCGCGAGGUGGGCGCAGCGAAGAGGUCCAGGCGACUGUUUAUCAAAAACACAGGGCUCUGCAAAUUCGAAAGAAGACGUAUAGGGCCUGACACCUGCCCGGUGCUGGAAGGUUAAGAGGGGAUGUCAUCGCAAGAGAAGCAUUGAAUCGAAGCCCCAGUAAACGGCGGCCGUAACUAUAACGGUCCUAAGGUAGCGAAAUUCCUUGUCGGGUAAGUUCCGACCUG